CUUGGAACACGGACCAAGGAGUCGUCUUCGUAUGCGAGUGUUUGGGUGUAAAACCCCGGCGCGUAAUUAAAGUGAACGCAGGUGAGAGCUUCGGCGCAUCAUCGACCGAUCCUGAUGUUCUCGGAUGGAUUUGAGUAAGAGCAUACGGGGCCGGACCCGAAAGAAGGUGAACUAUGCCUGUAUAGGGUGAAGCCAGAGUAAAC
rnacentral:rRNA from 16 species